rnacentral:rRNA from 1 species
AUUGAACGCUGGCGGCAUGCCUUACACAUGCAAGUCGAACGGUAACAGGUCUUCGGAUGCUGACGAGUGGCGAACGGGUGAGUAAUACAUCGGAACGUGCCCGAGAGUGGGGGAUAACGAGGCGAAAGCUUUGCUAAUACCGCAUACGAUCUCAGGAUGAAAGCAGGGGACCGCAAGGCCUUGCGCUCACGGAGCGGCCGAUGGCAGAUUAGGUAGUUGGUGGGAUAAAAGCUUACCAAGCCGACGAUCUGUAGCUGGUCUGAGAGGACGACCAGCCACACUGGGACUGAGACACGGCCCAGACUCCUACGGGAGGCAGCAGUGGGGAAUUUUGGACAAUGGGCGCAAGCCUGAUCCAGCCAUGCCGCGUGCAGGAUGAAGGCCUUCGGGUUGUAAACUGCUUUUGUACGGACCGAAAAGACUCUGGUUAAUACCUGGGGUCCAUGACGGUACCGUAAGAAUAAGCACCGGCUAACUACGUGCCAGCAGCCGCCGUAAAAC